rnacentral:rRNA from 1 species
CCCUUAGAUGUCCGGGGCCGCACGCGCGCUACACUGAAGGAAUCAGCGUGGCUUUCUCCCUGACCCGAAAGGGUUGGGAAACCCGUUGAAUCUCCUCGUGAUAGGGAUUGGGGCUUGAAAUUGUUCCCCAUGAACGAGGAAUUCCCAGUAAGCGCGAGUCAUAAGCUCGCGUUGAUUACGUCCCUGCCCUUUGUACACACCGCCCGUCGCUACUACCGAUUGAACGGUUUAGUGAGGGCCUCGGAUUGGUCUCGGCCCGCUCUUUACCGGGCGGCGCCGUUGGUCGAGAAGACGCUCGAACUUGAUCGUUUAGAGGAAGUAAAAGUCGUAACA